rnacentral:rRNA from 1 species
AGUGAACGCUAGCGGUGCGCCUAAUACAUGCAAGUCGAGUGGGUUUAGACCCACGGCGAACGGCUGAGGAACACGUUGGUACCUACCCCGUACUCAGGGAUAACCCGGGGAAACCCGGGCUAAUACCGGAUGGUCUCGUAAGAGUAAAGCUUUUGCGGUACGGGAGGGGCCUGCGGCCUAUCAGCUUGUUGGUAAGGUAACGGCUUACCAAGGCUAUGACGGGUAGCUGAUCUGAGAGGAUGAUCAGCCAGAAUGGGACUGAGACACGGCCCAUACUCCUACGGGAGGCAGCAGUAAGGAAUCUUCCGCAAUGGACGCAAGUCUGACGGAGCGACACCGCGUGAAGGAUGACACCCUUUUCGGGCGUAAACUUCUGUUCUGAGGGAACAAAUUUUUGAGGGUACCUCAGGAGAAAGCACCGGCUAAUUCCG